CCUACGGGUGGCAGCAGUGAGGAAUAUUGGUCAAUGGACGAGAGUCUGAACCAGCCAAGUAGCGUGAAGGAUGACUGCCCUAUGGGUUGUAAACUUCUUUUAUAUGGGAAUAAAAUGUUCCACGUGUGGGGUUUUGUAUGUACCAUAUGAAUAAGGAUCGGCUAACUCCGUGCCAGCAGCCGCGGUAAUACGGAGGAUCCGAGCGUUAUCCGGAUUUAUUGGGUUUAAAGGGAGCGUAGGUGGAAUGUUAAGCAAGCUGUGAAAGUUUGCGGCUCAACCCUAACAUUGCAGUGGAAACUGGCGGUCUUGAGUACGGUGGAGGCGGGCGGAAUUCGUGGUGUAGCGGUGAAAUGCUUAGAUAUCACGAAGAACCCCGAUUGCGAAGGCAGCUCACUGGACUGCAACUGACGCUGAGGCUCGAAAGUGUGGGUAUCAAACAGGAUUAGAUACCCUUGUAGUC
rnacentral:rRNA from 1 species